GUGGAGAGUUUCUUGAGCUCGUGCCUCUGCGUGGACCUCUUCCAUCUCAAGAGAAACAUCCUUUUUACCGAGGAAUCUCUGAAAGGCUGCAGGUAACGAGGACUCUCAGGGAGGAAAGGCAGAACGCAGAGCUGCAGCACUGCAGGCAAUGCCAGGAAGGAAAACAAGUAGUUCCACCUGGACUCCUGGAGUCACAAAUCGCCAACAUCAGGGUUGUGCAGAUGUCAAGCCCGUGCCAUGACAUGUCAUCUGUCUGGGCUGAGCCACGGAACGGGAACACUUACCAGAAUCCACCCCCACGAUGAAGCGGCCAAUGAUGAGCAUCUCAAAGGACCGUGCCUUCUCCCCAAAGGAAACCGGAGUACUCGGAGAAAAACCCACGCAGGCACGGGGAGAACGUGCAAACUCCACAUCGGAAAAGCCCCAGCCCGGAUUGUAAGCCUGGACUCGACAGCGCGUGUUUCUACUUUGGUGCAGCUAUCGUGGACACACAACAACUGUCUUCAUGGCCCGAAAAAAAGUUCUCUCCUGGGGCAGUUUUCUCUCAACAAUGGCUGUCUUAUCCUAAUGAGGUACUUCAGUGUGCCCCUGUGUGAAAUGCAUGAAAGGCAAUUCUACAUAACCAGAAAGAGGUUGCAAAAAUGAUACGUUGUUAAAAGUCAUUUCAUAGCACGUGGCUGCAAUUCCCAGCAAAUAUGUCAUAUAUUCUGUGAGCUGAUACUGUAUACUCAGCCUUUCAUGUCAUCGCCCCUUAAGAGGCUUCCUUUGUCAAGCUUGGAGCUGAGGCCACACAAGUUCCCCAUGUGAGCAAGAGCAAUGGAAAACAGUUUGGCACUACCGCAAAGUGCGGUUAAGCCGACAUUCCAGCAAUGUCGUAAUUUUUGCUGUCUUUAGACAAUGCUUUAUUCUGCAGGAUACAUUUAGUUAUAUGAAACACUAAACCUUGCACUGAAACAGGAAGUGCUUCCGCCCUUGUGUAACUAUGCCCUUGAUAUCAUAAUGUUGUGCCAAAGGUUCCUCCAAUCAAACAGUUGGCAAAAACAAAGAUAAGUAUAGUCCUACCGUAUUAUGUCAUCAGCUGUUGUGUAAACACACCUUUCUGUCAUGGUCAGGGCUUCAUGAUGAACCUGACCACCAUUUAGAGAGAGAUCAUAAAUUUGCUAUCUUUAUCACACUUUAUCAAGUGUGUAAAUACUAACUCGACUUUUUAUCUUUGAAGAUUCUCCAACCUGAGACACUGCAGGCAAGUCACCAGGAAAACUACAAUCACAUGAGAACCGUUUGGCUAAUUCAAUUUGCCAACAAAAUAGAGGAGGAGGACUCAAAAUGAUGCGGCUGUCCUGCCCAGACAAAUGGAAUGAUAAAUGCCAAAUGAUUUAGGCUGAAAAAAAAA